GCAAGUCGAACGGAAGUCGUUACGAAAUGGAUUGACGAUUUAUCUGAAAGAAGUUUGUAACAAUGGCUUAGUGGCGGACUGGUGAGUAACACGUGAGUAACCUGCCUAUGAGAGGGGAAUAACAGUGAGAAAUCAUUGCUAAUACCGCAUAAGCUCACAGUAUCACAUGAUACAGUGAGAAAAGGAGUAAUCCGCUGAUAGAUGGACUCACGGCCGAUUAGCCAGUUGGUGGGGUAACGGCCUACCAAAGCAACGAUCGGUAGCCGAGUUGAGAGACUCAACGGCCACAUUGGGACUGAGAUACGGCCCAGACUCCUACGGGAGGCAGCAGUCGGGAAUAUUGCGCAAUGGAGGGAACUCUGAACCGCAGUGACGCCGCGUAUAGGAAGAAGGUUUUCGGAUUGUAAACUAUUUUAGACAGGGAAGAAGAUGACAGUACCUGUAGAAUAAGCUCCGGCUAACUACGUGCCAGCAGCUGC
rnacentral:rRNA from 1 species